rnacentral:misc_RNA from 1 species
GAUGAAGAACGUAGCGAAAUGUGAUAAGUAAUGUGAAUUGCAGAAUUCAGUGAAUCAUCGAAUCUUUGAACGCACCUUGCGCCUUUUGGUAUUCCGAAAGGCACACCUGUUUGAGCGUCAUGAAUACCUCAAUCUCCAUCUUUUCUUCGGAUUGAUGGGUGACUUGGAUGUUGAGCCCUGCUGGUAUGCUAUAUCAGCUGGCUUUAAACUUAUUGGCCGGCUCUGUACUGGAUCGGUUUGACUCGACGUGAUAAUAUUAUCGUUGAGGAUGCAUGUCUCAUGCAGCCGGAAAGUAUCAAAGCAGCUUCUAGCUUGCCUUUAGUGCACUUUUACAUUUUAGACCUCAGAUCAGGUGGGACUACCCGCUGAACUUAAGCAUAUCAAUAAGCGGAGGA